AGCAAUCUGCCUUUGGAUGGGGGAUAACAGCCGGAAACGACUGCUAAUACUGCAUGAUGCAGCGGGGUCGCAUGAUUUUGCUGCCAAAGAUUUAUCGUCCAAAGAUGAGCUCGCGUCUGAUUAGCCAGUUGGCGGGGUAACGGCCCACCAAAGCGACGAUCAGUAGCCGGACUGAGAGGUUGAACGGCCACAUUGGGACUGAGACACGGCCCAGACUCCUACGGAAGGCAGCAG
rnacentral:rRNA from 1 species